CUAAACUCAGGAUACCUCCCAUUGUCUCAGUCGACUUCCUGUGGCCUGCAUAUCAAGAUGUAGCCAGCACCAUGUCUGCCUGCACACCACCAUGCUCCCCACCAUGAUGAUAAUGGACUGAACCUCCAAAACUAGAUUUGAACACAGAAUGACGUCCAACAGGACAAACCAGUUGCGCCACAAUCUGAGGAUGGACUUCAAACUAAUAGCAAUUUGACAGCAUGGAGGAGCCCAGAGUGGAUAGGACUGAACAUGUCAUUGAGCACCAGCGGCUUUGAUACCAUGGGGACGGUGGCAUCCAAUAAAGCAGCUGUGGUUGGUGAGAAAGGUGGUACUUGGUGGCACAAGAUAGAGACGUCCUUGGCUGAAACGGAUUCAACCUAGAGGUGGUGUGGAGGCCACAAGAGGUGGUGAGAUCUCCUGGAGCUGGAGUUACAGGAGACUGUGAGCAACCCAUCGUGGAAGCUGGGAUCCGAUGAAGGUGUCCUGGAAGAGCAGCAAGCGCUCUUAACUGAUGAGGCAUUGCUCCAGCCCCAAGCACAGGAUGUUUUAUACGUCACUGGCAAGGUUAUACAGCACACAGUAACCAACACACAGCCAGACCUGGCCGAUGCCCUCUGUGGAAUCUGCAGCCGGUGCUUACAUCAUAUGUUACAGUUGUCCUCAUGUUAUUGACUUGUGUUGUUGAAUAAAGAGACACUGGAGAAACUAAACAAACAAACAAACAAACAAACAAACAAAACAAAGGUUAAACACAUAAAUUACCCUUGAACAGUAG
rnacentral:lncRNA from 1 species